rnacentral:rRNA from 1 species
AACAAACGCUGGCGGCGUGCCUAAUACAUGCAAGUCGAACGGGGAAAGCUUUCGGGUGAGUACUAGUGGCGCACGGGUGAGUAACGCGUGGAUAAUCUGCCUUAGAGUGGGGGAUAACUAGUCGAAAGAUUAGCUAAUACCGCAUAAGACCACAAGAACUGCGGUUCAAGAGGUCAAAGGUUUUUCGCUCUAAGAUGAGUCCGCGUAAGAUUAGCUAGUUGGUGAGGUAACGGCUCACCAAGGCAACGAUCUUUAACUGGUCUGAGAGGAUGAUCAGUCACACUGGAACUGAGACACGGUCCAGACUCCUACGGGAGGCGGCAGUAGGGAAUAUUGCACAAUGGAGGAAGCUCUGAUGCAGCGACGCCGCGUGAGUGAUGAAGGCCUUCGGGUCGUAAAGCUCUGUCGCAGGGGAAUAACACAAUGAAGGUACCCUGUAAGAAAGGAUCGGCUAACUUCGUGCCAGCCGCCGCCGUAACAC